CGAUCCUGCCACUUUCCUGUUAAUGCCUUCGAGGUCUACCACUGUUUCUAGGAUGAAGGCCAAAAGUGACAAGGUGAUGCCUGCCAGCCCGCCCUGUUUGUGAGAUGAUUUUAAAAUAAGCUGAAACAAUGUAAGACAUACCCGGGUCAAUCUAUAAAUAAUAACAGUAGAGAAGCAUGGCGGCGAAACAAAAGAUGGUUUCAAUCCUUGAACCCUGAGGGGUGAUGCUUCAUAAAGACAACCCUUUUAGGGAAGACUUCUCCAAGGUCUCUCAGAGUCUACACAUUGUCCAGUUAUGAGUCUAUGUGGGAAUUCCAUCUAUUGCAAGGAGAAGCUUCUUUGAUGAGGACUGAAGGAGGUACAACAGCGUCAGAGGACGAGUUUUGAAAAUCUCAGCACAAUUAGGAUAAUUCUAGGAGCCUGUGGUACCCAAACUGAUGCAAUUGAGGAG